rnacentral:rRNA from 1 species
AUUGAACGCUGGCGGCAGGCCUAACACAUGCAAGUCGAACGAGUGGCGGACGGGUGAGUAAUGUCUGGGAAACUGCCUGAUGGAGGGGGAUAACUACUGGAAACGGUAGCUAAUACCGCAUACCAUCAGAUGUGCCCAGAUGGGAUAAGCUUGUUGGUGGGGUAACGGCUCACCAAGGCGACGAUCCCUAGCUGGUCUGAGAGGAUGACAUGGAACACUGGAACGGAGACACGGUCCAGACUCCUACGGGAGGCAGCAGUGGGGAAUAAUGCACAAUGGGCGCAAGCCCGAAGCAGCAAUACCGGGUGUAUGAAGAAGGCCUUCGGGUUGUAAAGUACUUUAAGCGGGGAGGCGUUACCCGCAGAAGAAGCACCGGCUAACUCCGUGCCAGCAGCCGCGGUAAUUC